GGAGGUGUAGCUCAGUGGUAGAGCACAUGCUUAGCAAUGCAUGAGGUCCUGGGUUCAAUCCCCAGCAUCCUCCA
rnacentral:tRNA from 1 species